rfam:Terriglobus roseus strain GAS232 genome assembly, chromosome: I
GGCGGUGUAGCUCAGAUGGUUAGAGCGACGGACUCAUAACCCGUAGGUCACUGGUUCGAUUCCAGUCACCGCCA